rnacentral:lncRNA from 1 species
CCAAUGUUGGAUCGUUCCUCCUUCAAUAUCAAAGUCGAUUCCAUCCAAAACCGCAUCCCCUAAUGGUCGAGAAGAUGACGUUCCCCCUAAAAAGUUGUUCCAAAGAUAAGUAGCCACCUCCCUAGCAUCUUCAGCCGAGGUAAGGUAGUAGCUCCCAGCACCUCCCCCGAUUGAAAGCAUUACCUUAAUUCCUUUCGCCUGACACGAUUUAAUGUCGGAACUCAAACCAGUGCAGCCAUUACUGUAGGGAUCACAAUGACCGGCAAGGUUAAUCAUCGGUGUCUGCCCAUUGCCAAACGUCGGAAGAAAAGCUAUGUUGACAAAGUCAUAGCUACCAGUGGCACAAGUCUCGGCCAAGGUACCCUCGUAUCCG